GCCUAACAGCCAUGCACGUCUAAGCACAAACCUUCAAACGUGUAAACCGCGAAUGACUCGGUAAAUCAGCUAUAGUGCCUUGGAUCGUACAUACUGCAUGGACAACUGUAGUAAUUCUAGAGCUAAUACAUGUCACUAUGCCCUGACCCGCAAGGAAACGGGUGGAUUUAUUAGAACAGAACGAACCGGCGGUGACUUCGGUUGCUAUCGUUGCAUUCUGUGAUGACUCUGGAUAACUGUACUGAUCGCAGUCGGCCUUGUGUCGGCGAAGGAUCUUUCAAAUGUCUGCCCUUUCAAUUUUCGAUGGUAGGUGGCCUGCCUACCAUGGUGAUAACGGAUAACGGGAAAUCAGGGUUCGAUUCCGGAGAGGGAGCCUGAGAAACGGCCACCACCUCCAAGGAAGGCAGCAGGCGCGCAAAUUACCCAAUCCCGGCACGGGGAGGUAGUGACGAGAAAUACGGAUACGGGACUCAUUAGAGGCUCCGUAAUUCAAAGCCUUUAACGAGGAUCAACUGGAGAGCAAGUCUGGUGCCAGCGGCCGCGGUAACUCCACUUGCAGU
rnacentral:ncRNA from 1 species